GACAAGUCUGCCAGAAAAUAUGUGAAGGUCCGCAAACAGCGGAAGAAGUAAAAAGGUUUAAUUACUUCGAGGCAACUCUUUCAUGCGAGAGACUGAAGUGAUUGAUUGAAUAAUUAUUGUGGCAGAUUAGAGGAGCUGCUGAUUGUUGCUGUAUGUUGUAGCCAUCAGAAUGUCAUUGAUGCCGGCACAAAUGUGAGGAGCUGUUAAAAAUGUUGCUGUUAUUUCAUCAUUUC
rnacentral:lncRNA from 1 species